rnacentral:rRNA from 1 species
GGGCCCGCACAAGCGGUGGAGCAUGUGGUUUAAUUCGAUGAUACGCGAGGAACCUUACCAGGGCUUAAAUGUAAGUUGCAUUAGUUAGAGAUAGCUAUUUCUUCGGACCACUUACAAGGUGCUGCAUGGUUGUCGUCAGCUCGUGCCGUGAGGUGUCAGGUUAAGUCCCGCAACGAGCGCAACCCCUAUCUUUAGUUGCCAGCGGAUAAUGCCGGGGACUCUAAAGAAACUGCCAGCGCAAGCUGAGAGGAAGGCGGGGACGACGUCAAGUCAUCAUGCCCCUUAUGUCCAGGGCUGCACGCAUGCUACAAUGGCAAGUACAACGAGUCGCAAUACCGCGAGGUGGAGCAAAUCUCUUAAAGCUUGUCUCAGUUCGGAUAGGAGUCUGCAACUCGACUCCUUGAAGUUGGAGUC